rnacentral:rRNA from 1 species
AGAAUCAACGCUGGCGGCGUGCCUAACACAUGCAAGUCGAACGAGAAAGGGACUUCGGUCCUGAGUAUAGUGGCGCACGGGUGAGUAACACGUGAAUAAUCUACCUCCGAGUGGGGAAUAACCUGGAGAAAUCUAGGCUAAUACCGCAUAACACUUACGAGUCAAAGCAGCAAUGCGCUUGGAGAGGAGUUCGCGGCAGAUUAGUUAGUUGGCGGGGUAAUGGCCCACCAAGACGAUGAUCUGUAUCCGGCCUGAGAGGGCGCACGGACACACUGGAACUGAAACACGGUCCAGACUCCUACGGGAGGCAGCAGUGGGGAAUUUUGCGCAAUGGGGGAAACCCUGACGCAGCAACGCCGCGUGGAGGAUGAAGUAUCUUGGUACGUAAACUCCUUUCGAUGGGAAGAUAUGACGGUACCAUAGAGAAGCCCGGCUAACUUCGCGCCAGCAGCCGC